CCCACUGAGUGAGGCCAGGGAUGGAACCCGCAUCCUCAUGGAUAUUUAGUGGGAUGUUAGUUCCUGUUGCUCUGCCGCUGCCAGAGGUCCUAAGAGUGCGGCCAUACCACCCUGCACGUGCCCCAUCUCUCAGGGCUUAUGACAGAGUUCUGCAGCUACUGUUUAUUGUUGGAAGUUCACCCCACACCACUGCCUUCCCACCCAGCUUGGCAAAACUUGGUUUAUCUAAUAAGUGAUUUAUUAGACGCUGUGAAAACCUUUCAACUCUUCUGCCCAGAAAAACACCAUGAAAUGCGGUCAUUGCCUGUGAAAUAUGUGACACUUAUCUUGGUAAUUUUUUUUUUAAUCCUAAAAGCUAAUCAGCCUGAAUAUGUAGAGUGAACUUUUUUCACUUCAUCUUUUAAAUAGCUGAGACCCGUUCUUUCCUGAGGCUAAGGACACGAGCAGUAAAACCUAUCAUCUUUUCCUGCUUCCUCGGAGGAAAACCACUCUCAGGGUGUGAAAACACAGUCCAGGAAGGUCCACACCCUCUUUUAAAUCUUUAAUUCUCUGUGUGACAGGGCAGCGCCUGGUACUACCGCAACGGGGGUUUUAUCAGGGGUUCCCUUUGGGUUGAAAUGUGCAAGAAAAAGAGGAGGCUUAAUUUUGUACCUUCCACAUCGAAGGGACAGUUCUGCCUCCCUGCAGAACCUCCUACUCGAAACAGAUAAACCUUAAUCUGAAAAGCACUCUUUCUCCAACUGACACCAUCCAAGGCCACCGAAAUCACCGUCAUGGCCUUUAGCGAGGAUCCGGAGACCCUAAGUGGUGGCUCAGCAGUGUCCUCAGUCUGUGCUGAGCCUCGCAGGAUUUCUAACUUGCAAGUUACAGUUUAACCUGAACCUGCCAAUAAUUUCAAUCUGUUCUCAAAUAAAUGCGCAUUGGACUGUGAAUUACUCUCUGUCCAUUCGCACCACAGAAACCCAGGCAUGAGCUGGUUGAAAUCAAAAGGUAUAAGCAAAAUUUGAGUGUCUACCCUGCUGGCUUUGGCCCUUUGGCUGUGAUCUUGCAGGCAUCACUCAGAGCCAUGCUCUUUGCGGAGGAGAAACAGAGACCCUGGGGGCACAGACGGAGCAGUGAGCACAAAUUCACUAUCAAGCCAGGAACCGGUUUGGAUCAGAAGCUGGGGUCCGGGGUGACUGAGCUUCGAGUCCAGCUAGCUGGGCAGGUGGGCAGGCGCGGUGGAGGCACAGCCCUGUGCUGCUCAGGACGCGGUCUUUGUCACAGAAGCGAGGUGCUGCGGGGUCGCCAGCCUCGGCUGUCCUUGCUGACUCGGGAUCAGGAAGCCCCAGUGGUCCCUUUGGAAGCGGCCAGGUCUGCGCUGCCGCCUGCCUCCCGUGCUACCGUCACAGGCAUCCCUGACACCGCCCGAGUGAGCUUCUGGAGGCGGGAGCCAAGGAACGGAGAAGUCACGCUGCCUGCACACGACUGAAUGUGCAUGUGACGCCCGCCAGAACCACCUGUUUUGGGGCCUGUCACACGUGCGCUGUGCAUCUGCGUUAACCACGGAGGAAACGGAGGCAUGUGGAACCAACAAGGAGUAACUGGGGUUCAGGCAUCUGGGUGGAGGCCGGCGGCCACGGUGGAUGUGGCUGCAGACACGCUCCUGCCGCACCGAGACCCUGAGUUUUCUGAGCUGUGUCAAGACUCAAGGACACCUGCCCCAGCCCUUCUCUAAACAGUACCUGCCAAGAGCUGGCAGCUGCACCCUUGCGGCCUCAAGAUCUUCCCUGUGUAACUGUGUAACCAUUCCAGACCUGGACCAGUCCUUGCUUCACCAGCACCCCUACUUCUGGCCAGCUCCAAUUAUAAUUCUUCACAAAC